ensembl:lncRNA
CACAGGGUCAACGUUAUCUUCAGGCAGCAGAAGGUGUCACCUUCAUCGGACCUGACACACAUGCUACUCAAACCAUGGGAGACAAGAUCAGGGGCAAAUUAAUCGCCAAGAUGCCAAGGUCAGUGUCGUGCCCCCAUACGCGUGGGCUGGUCAAGGUGAGCAGCAGACACACGUCUAUUCUUUCAGCCACCUCAAAUGACUCAUCUCACGUCUGUCGUACUGUCAUGAGGGCAUCAGGACUGAUGUGUGUGUUUAUAAAGACUAGGUGUUGUCAGUUAGCUGUCAGCUCUGGGAAUAACAGAUUAGGCCUUUUUUGAUGCGUUGCCACUGUGGCAAAUUCUUACCUCCCUUGGAAUGCGAUCCAGGAACUCGUUGUUUGUGGAUGGAAAUGUGUGCGUGUGGUUGGAAGGGCCGUUGCUAAUGAGGGAUGUUUUGAAAACAUUUAAAGCCCUAAUGAUGCUGCUCCAAGAGUAAAGCCUCUUCCGGGGGCUGUGAUUUAAGAUGGUUUGAGGCUGUGGAAAAAUUGUUUCACCCAAUUUAAUUCUUGCGUUCCUGUUGUUAAAAUAUUGGGGUUAGAGGCUAACACAAAGAUGAGGAGGUGAAGGACCCUGCCGCAUGCGUGUGUUUUUAAAGUAAAGAGUAUUAAAGCUCCUUCAAUAGCAGCUCUGCGAGUUCUCAGUUCUCCAUUUUGUCUCGAGAGCACUUAAUUGUCUGCAUUUGGCAAGUUUAACACUUCCUGACUUGAGUGGCCUCACUUGAAUGUCUUUGCAUAGCUUUUGGGGACAAAAGAAAGGCCUAGAUGCAGAACAAACACACACACACACACACACACACACACACACACACACACACACACACAAGCAUGCAAAUAUAUUAAAAAUCCAUAGUGACCGAAUGAAACAUGCCAAGAGAAAAUUUCCCACCGAGAAAUUUUGAGAUUUUAGCUGCGCCUAGUUCUGUCCGCCAGCCAAUUUUCCAUCAGGAAUCUCUCAUUAGCAGAUGUUUUUGGCCACAACACACACACACACCUCAGUGUGAUCUGGUGAACCCUAAAUUUAACAAGCGCUUACCAGAGCAGACGAGUUAAUGAAAGGAAAUGACCUUUUCUGCCAAUUUCCCCCUUCCAUUCAGGUGCUUUUUUAUGUCACAAUUUAAAAUGACAGAUACUUUUAUUUUGUACAAAAAAAAAAAACUGAUAAAUCUUUCCAAUGUUUUAUUAUUUCUGGGAAGCGCAUGAGUCAGGUAUUAACUGCAGUCAGAUGGCCACAUCUAUAUCUUGCUUGACCUGGUUUCCAAGACUUAUUGCCGACUUUAAGGUUUCUGAGGUGUCUGAUACUGGAAUUCAUUUUAGAAGACGGCGAUACAGGAUGAAGUUUAUUUACACCGCUGUCAUCUGUUCCCUGCAUAGCAACAAAGCCGAUGAUUUCCACAUAAGAGCAGUGGGGAGACUUGGGUAGACGGCCCCUUCAGAGCCCGCUGAAGUGAAGCCGUAGUUGGGUAUGUUGGCUGGUCUCGCCCGGCCGCCCCACAGCAGGUUUGAAGCCUCUUCUAUCUUUGCCUCAAAUCAAUAGAAGAGCUGCUCCCCCUGCUGCCUGUCUCACGCUACAACUUCCUCUUCCCUCACCUCUUCCAAUGGCACACAUCACCCUUCACAUUUCCUCUCCUUUUAUCCCCAUUUCUCUCUCUCUCUCUCUGCAGUGAAGCAGUCAGGAUGGUACCCGUUUGGCAGUGGCUGACAUGAGGUCUAUCAAGGAGGCCUGUUAGGCUAGUGGCAAGACGGAAACCCAUCUGGGAGGCCUUUUCCUAUGGAUGCAGGUUGUGAUUUGAAGGUUUGUUGGGCAGCAGACGAGUGUGACGGCACGUUUCUGCAUUCAUCCAAGAACCUUCUAUCCUGCCUACUGAUACCUUGAUCUGGUCUCCCUCAGCCAUCUUGUUCUUCAUAAAUUUUUCACCACGCUGUGAUCAAAGCUCACCACUGUAUUUGUGUUCUAUUGUAAUGGCCAAGGAUGUAACAUGAAAAUCUACUUAAAAAUUACAAUCCAUCCUAUAUCAGGCCUAGUGUUGACAUGGCUUUUUCUGUGUGGGUUUUUAAUGUGAUUGAUUUAUUUUGUUUAGAUGGGCAUGGAAGUGCAGGAAUGUUUGGUGCUGUAGGCGUGUCAGUGGGUGAUCCGCAUUCAUAUGCCGUGCACUUGUCUCAAUAGUGCAGCCAUGCAGGCCAUGCAGUUGUGUCAGAAAACACACUCGUCUUUUUUUUUUUUUUGGGAAAAAUAAAUGUGAGAAGACACUUUCGCAUCACUGAAAUAAAAAAAAAAUAUUUCAGUAUGAAAACAAACACAAUUGAAUAAAAAUAAAUAUAUGCAGAAAUAAGUGGUAGUUUUCAGUUCUUUCUCUACAAAAGCUGAGCAGGAAUCUCCUGCAGAGGACUGAUUUAAAGUGGAGUGAAGAAAGUAUUGAGAGCAUCCAAAAAUUAAGAAAUACUUCACAGGUGAUAAACGCUGAAUGGUAGCUAAUCACUGGAAUGUGAUUCUUUGUUUUGAUUUAUCAGAGGAAGGACUAUUAGCACUUUUUGGAGGUAUUUCUUUUUUGGAGUUUCUUCCAAGGCACUGGUUAUGUUCUGUUGGUGUUGCAAUACAGUGUUUUAAGAAGAGGGAUGUUCUCUUUCUGUGUGGCCCAGAGCUGCUGUUCUUCCUGCUGGAGUGACUCAAGUAGACUUGCAUGCAUGUGCUUCUCACAUCAAUUUCUCCAGCUGCCAACUGCUGAAGACCAUCUUACCAAGGCUUUGCUGCCUUUCAUGUUCCUUAAUCCUGGGCUAUGUUAGCAUAAUGCUAAUGCAGUGUUUAGUCUUAAUAGUCUUUAUGCUCUGGAGGUCUUUGUGGAAAGAAAUAUUCCAUCAGUUCCACCUGCACCUAGCCGCAACAAUGGAUAAAAAUAUAAAAAUAUAUAUUUUUUGGAAGACUUUUUUUCCAACUGAUGUUUAAUAAAACACUGGUUUUGUGAGUUAAACAAAAUAAAUCAAUUUAAAAAGAAAGUUUAUUUCCUGUAUUUUGAUACAUGUAGAACUGAAACCGUGCAGCUAGGAAAUUUAUUUUGCUAGAUGAAAAUAUUUUUUGUUUUAGUUUAAAUCAUUAAAUUCAAAGGUCGAAAUAUAUUUCAAAAUGUAUUUCAAGGAGCAAGAUAAUAUAUUUCAAAAUGUAUUUUACAAUGUUUUUGACAAUAGAGAGAAAUAAAAAAACAAACUAAUAUAUGUUUAAAUCUGUAUUAUGUUUAAAAAUAUAUGAAAUAUACACUAACAUUGACAUGUUGGUGAUCAUCAAGAUUAUUUUUUUAAGAAAUGAAUACUUGUAUUCAACAAGGAUGCAUUCAAUUAGAGUGACAGUAAAGACUUUUUUUUUUUUUUAACUUUGAUAAUAAGAAUCAAGAUUAUUUAAGCACCAAAUCAGCAUAUAU